rnacentral:other from 1 species
GCUAGCUCAGUCCGGGAGGAGCCGCAGUCGGAGGAGGGGGAGGAGGAAGAAGAGAAGGAAGAGGAGAGGGGGCCACGGUGGCGACUCAGCGCUCGGAAGCCGGGCUCAUGGACCGGUGAGGCGGCUGUGUGCGCAGACAGUGCUCCAGCCGCGCGCGCGCCCCAGGCCCUGGCCCCGGCCUCGGCUCGGGGAGGAAGAGGAGCCCGCCUGGGCGCCGAGGAGAGCGGGCCACCCCGCAGCCCGAGCCGGAGAGGGAGCGCGAGCCGCGCCGGCCCCGGCCGGGCCUCCGAAACCAUGAACUUUCUGCUC